rnacentral:rRNA from 1 species
AGCGAACGCUGGCGGCAGGCUUAACACAUGCAAGUCGAGCGGGCACUUCGGUGUCAGCGGCAGACGGGUGAGUAACACGUGGGAACGUACCCUUUGGUUCGGAAUAACGCUGGGAAACUAGCGCUAAUACCGGAUACGCCCUUUUGGGGAAAGGCUUGCUGCCGAAGGAUCGGCCCGCGUCUGAUUAGCUAGUUGGUGGGGUAAUGGCCUACCAAGGCGACGAUCAGUAGCUGGUCUGAGAGGAUGAUCAGCCACACUGGGACUGAGACACGGCCCAGACUCCUACGGGAGGCAGCAGUGGGGAAUAUUGGACCAUGGGCGCAAGCGUGAUCCAGCCAUGCCGCGUGAGUGAUGAAGGCCUUAGGGUUGUAAAGCUCUUUUGUCCGGGACGAUAAUGACGGUACCGGAAGAAUAAGCCCCGGCUAACUUCGUG